rnacentral:rRNA from 1 species
UACGGAGGGUGCAAGCGUUGUCCGGAAUCACUGGGCGUAAAGGGCGCGUAGGCGGCCCGGUAAGUAGGGGGUGAAAUCCUGCGGCUUAACCGCAGGGCUGCCUUCUAAACUGUCGGGCUCGAGCACGGUAGAGGCAGAUGGAAUUCCCGGUGUAGCGGUGGAAUGCGUAGAGAUCGGGAAGAACACCCGUGGCGAAGGCGGUUCUCUGGGACGGUACUGACGCUGAGACGCGAAAGCGUGGGGAGCGAACAGG